GAUGAACGCUGGCGGCGUGCCUAAUACAUGCAAGUCGAGCGAACCACUUCGGUGGUGAGCGGCGAACGGGUGAGUAACACGUAGGUGAUCUGCCCAUCAGACGGGGACAACGAUUGGAAACGAUCGCUAAUACCGGAUAGGACGAAAGUUUAAAGGUGCUUCUGGCACCGCUGAUGGAUGAGCCUGCGGCGCAUUAGCUAGUUGGUAGGGUAAAGGCCUACCAAGGCAACGAUGCGUAGCCGACCUGGGAGGGUGAACGGCCACACUGGGACUGAGACACGGCCCAGACUCCUACGGGAGGUAGCAGUAGGGAAUCUUCGGCAAUGGGCGAAAGCCAGACCGAGCAACGCCGCGUGAAUGAUGAAGGCCUUCGGGUUGUAAAAUUCUGUUAUAAGGGAAGAACGACUUUAGCAGGAAAUGGCUAGAGUGUGACGGUACCUUAUGAGAAAGCCACGGCUAACUACGUGCCAGCAGCCGCCGUAAUAC
rnacentral:rRNA from 1 species